rnacentral:rRNA from 1 species
GCGCAGCAGUCGAGAAAACUUCACACUGUGCGAAAGCACGAUGAGGGAAUCCCAAGUGCUUGCACGUAAGUGUAAGCUGUUUCUCUGUCUAAAACGCAGAGAGAGUAAGGGCUGGGUAAGACGGGUGCCAGCCGCCGCGGUAAUACCUGCAGCUCAAGUGGUGACCGUUAUUAUUGGGCCUAAAACGUCCGUAGCCGGUUUAAUAAAUGCCUGGGUAAAUUGUGUAGCUUAACUAUACGAAUUCCGGGUAGACUGUUAAACUUGAGACCGGGAGAAGUUAGAGGUACUCCUGGGGUAGAGGUGAAAAUUCUGUAAUCCUAGGGGGACCACCAGUGGCGAAGGCGUCUAACUAGAACGGGUCUGACGGUGAGGGACGAAGCCCUGGGGCGC